GGCCCAAUGGUCUAGUAGUAUGAUUCGCCCUUCGGGUUGUACCCCAGUGUUGGUUUACGCUGAAAUUGGGCGAGGUCCCGGGUUCAAUUCCCGGUUGGGCCC